CACCCUAGCCGCCACCAUCUACAUCUCCACCAAUAGUGGUUGACUCCCCAGCAACUCAGACAAUCAAAAGCCUCAUUUUCUUGUCCUCUCUCUAUCAUUUGGCUUAGAAUUUUUCAAAAAAAAAGUCCUUGAAAGACCCAAAAUUCGAACCAAGCCUCAUUUUCGACAUUGACAUCAUCACCAGUUUUUAUAUGUUCUUCCCCGUCAGUGGCCACCAUUCCACCGUCGAGAUCUCUCAAAAAUUCUUUGGAUAUCUCCAAGUUCGUGGUUUGCCGAAGGCAACAACGGCUAAGGCUUCGUCUUGGGAAGGAGGAGAAGAAAAGAAGGUGAAAAAAAUAGAAAGAAAGGAAAAUAAAUAUGUGACAUAUUUAACGUAUCACGUCGUGUAAACAUUACUCCAUUAACGAAAAAAAUAAUAUUUCUUUUAAAUAUGUGGUAUAUUUAACAGUUGGGUGAUCAUUUUGUAACAAUUCGAUAAAA